CCCGGCACUUUGGGAGGCCAAGGCAGGUGGAUCACCUGAGGUCAGGAGUUCAAGACCAGUCUGACCAAUAUGGCGAAACCCCGUCUCCACUAAAUACAAAAAAUUCACCUGGCGUGGUGGUGUGCACCUGUAAUCCCAGCUACUCGGGAGGCUGAGGCAGGAGAAUCGCUUGAACCCGGGAGGUGGAGGUUGCAGUGAGCUGAGAUUGUGCCACUGCACUCCAGCCUGGGCAACAGAGCGAGACUCCAUCCCAAAUAAAAAAGAGAAAAAAGAAAGAAACUUGGACACAAACGCAUGCCAUUGGAAGACCGUGGGAAGACACGGGCAGAAGGUGGCCAUCUCCAUGCCAGACAGGGACCUCAGAAGGAGGCCAUCCUGCCAACGCCUUGGUCUUGGACUCCAGCAUCCAGAACUUCGAGAUGAUAAGUGGGGGUUGUUGAAGCUGCCCAGUCUGGGGAACUUUGUGACAGCUGCCCCAGAAAUCUGAUCCACUGCACCUGGCCUCAGAGUUCAGGCUGGCUCCACUCUCUCUCUCCCGACACCUCCCAUCAGGUGGGGACCUGCAGCCCAUUCCCAGGUGGGGGUCUGCACAAGGACAAGUUUGGGAUGAAGCCUCAGGUCACCUGGCUUCCUGGAUCUAUAAACUGUCAUCUAAGUGACAGGCUUGGCUCAGGAAAGCCGCUCGGUGCCAACCAGCUUGAGAGCCUAGCUCCCGGGGGCAGGCCACCGCACAGAGAACACACACGCUUUCCUAACAGCCUUGCUGGGGAAAUUUGGCCACUGGCUGCAAAACCUCACUGGAAGUAAAAAAUAGGAGUGUCAGAUCCUGUAGCUGAAUGAAAGAAAUUUGGACCAGCCAGGGUUAAGGAAGACAGACUUUCUGCUCUCCAGAGUCUGCCUGUGCUCUCAGGACAGGCCUCGGUGUGGCAGCACGUGAACCAGUGGCAGGCUGUUUUUCUUUCUUUCCAUGUUCCCAGCCCCUGGCACAUGGUAGGUGCUCAGAAAGUGCUAAGGACUUCCUAAAUGCAAACCUACACAGCCUAGCCCGUGCAGCAGGGAACGGAGAUCACCGGGCACUCGGGAGCCAUCCACUCGGUGGUGGGCGAUUUGAGCCGCUGUCUUCAGGACCGAGACCAGGCAUCAGGGACCCCAGAUUGUGGAGCAGACAACAACGCCGGCUGACCUCGGACGACGUCUCGUCCCGUAUUCUAUGUCUCAUGUCCUCUGUGAAAUGGAAGAGCCUCCAUCCCUAAGGGGACAGAGUUUCGGGCUUGGUGAAUGGAGCCUGGUGCGAAGCAGGAAGGAAGCCCCUUGGCUCCCACCUGCCAGCUACUCCGGGGCACUCCCCCGACCUUCUGGCCAUCUCCAUUGCUCAGAGCCCCACUGUGGGAGGUCUGAGCUCUCAGAGGCUGCAGUGAAGAGUGACAAGGAUGACGCCCCCACCAACCCCAUCAGGGUUCCUGGGGGUGCGGAUGACAUGUGGGCCACCUGGGCUUGUCUUUAGCGUUUUGGGGAGAUGAAUAGUUUGAGUGACUGUCUGCUUGCACCUGCCUCAGGACAGAGUAGUGAGAGGUAGGAGGAAGGCGUAGAGGGGAAGGGAGCUUCAGAGGUAACCCCCGACUGAACCGAGAGUGCACAGGUGGUCAUCCUGCACCCAGUCCUCCUGUCAACACCAGAGGGGUCCAGGGACCUAGACAGGUGGGGGACCACCCGUUGUUACGGAGUGACUGGGAGGGCCACCCGAGGAGAGCCAAGCAGGGGACCACCCCUCCCGGCAUGGGCAGACCUAGCAGGGCAGCCCCGGGACUUGGGGCGUGAGAUCCGACUUCCUGAGGCUCCACUCCUGGCGGGGGGCAGGCCAGGCCACCGUGGCUCUCCAAGGAAGGCGCACUGCCUAGCUGCGUGGAGCGUGGUUGGCCUCCAGCCGUUGGCUUCCUCAGGGUCAGCAUCCUCUCUGCCUCUCCAGGAGUCUGAGCUAGGUGAGGAUACAAGGGCCUGACUAUUCCACCCCUCAAGGGCUCCUCUGAUGGGCAGCACUGGCUCUGCAUGCCCACUGGGCUGCCAGAGAUGAGUGUGGCAGAUCCACAUCGCAGCUUACCCACCCCUCCUGCACUCUCUUGCAGCCUCUCUUUUCUUCAUGGGUGUUGCUCCCUCAUAAAUAAAUAAAUAUAUAUAUAUACACACACACACACACACAUAGUUGCUGUUGUUGUUGUUGUUGUUGUUUUUGAGGCAGGGUCUUGCUCUGUCGCCCAGGCUGGAGUUCAGU
rnacentral:lncRNA from 10 species